rnacentral:rRNA from 1 species
UACGUAGGGGGCAAGCGUUAUCCGGAUUUACUGGGUGUAAAGGGAGCGUAGACGGCAUGGCAAGUCAGAUGUGAAAGGCAGUGGCUCAACCAUUGUAUGCAUUGGAAACUGGUAGACUUGAGUGCAGGAGAGGAGAGUGGAAUUCCAUGUGUAGCGGUGAAAUGCGUAGAUAUAUGGAGGAACACCGGUGGCGAAAGCGGCUCUCUGGCCUGUAACUGACACUGAGGCUCGAAAGCGUGGGGAGCAAACAGG